rnacentral:rRNA from 1 species
CACUGUUGGGAGGGAAGAACGUUCGGGGCAUGGCCCUGAAGUGACGGUACCUCCAUAGAAAGCCCCGGCUAACUACGUGCCAGCAGCCGCGGUAAUACGUAGGGGGCAAGCGUUGUCCGGAUUUACUGGGUAUAAAGGGCGUGUAGGCGGAUCGUUAAGUCAGAGGUGAAAGCUCACAGCUCAACUGUGAAAUUGCCUUUGAUACUGGCGGUCUUGAGUACGAAAGAGGAAGAUGGAAUUCCUGGUGUAGCGGUGAAAUGCGUAGAUAUCAGGAGGAACACCGGUGGCGAAGGCGGUCUUCUGGUUCGUAACUGACGCUGAGGCGCGAAAGCAUGGGGAUCAAAACAGGAUUAGAUACCCUGGUAGUCCAUGCCGUAAACUAUGAGUGCUAGUUGUUAGCCCGGUCUU